UACCUACGGGGCGCAGCAGUGGGGAAUAUUGCACAAUGGGGGAAACCCUGAUGCAGCGACGCCGCGUGAGUGAAGAAGUAUCUCGGUACGUAAAGCUCUAUCCGCAGGAAAGAAAAUGACGGUACCUGACUAAGAAGCCCCGGCUAACUACGUGCCAGCAGCCGCGGUAAUACGUAGGGGGCAAGCGUUAUCCGGAUUUACUGGGUGUAAAGGGAGCGUAGACGGCAGGGCAAGUCUGGAGUGAAAGGCAGAGGCCCAACCCCUGGACUGCUCUGGAAACUGUCCGGCUGGAGUGCAGGAGAGGG
rnacentral:rRNA from 1 species